AUUGAACGCUGGCGGAAUGCUUUACACAUGCAAGUCGAACGGUAGAGGGGGCAACCCCUCGAGAGUGGCGAACGGGUGAGUAAUAUAUCGGAACGUGCCCAGUCGUGGGGGAUAACGUAGCGAAAGUUACGCUACUUCCGCAUACGAUCUAAGGAUGAAAGCGGGGGAUCGCAAGACCUCGCGCGAUUGGAGCGGCCGAUAUCAGAAUAGGUAGUUGGUGGGGUAAAGGCUCACCAAGCCAACGAUCUGUAGCUGGUCUGAGAGGACGACCAGCCACACUGGAACUGAGACACGGUCCAGACUCCUACGGGAGGCAGCAGUGGGGAAUUUUGGACAAUGGACGCAAGUCUGAUCCAGCCAUUCCGCGUGCAGGAUGAAGGCCCUCGGGUUGUAAACUGCUUUUGUACGGAACGAAAAGGUCUCUCUUAAUACGGGGGGCUCAUGACGGUACCGUAAGAAUAAGCACCGGCUAACUACGUGCCAGCCGCCGCCGUAA
rnacentral:rRNA from 1 species